AGGAAGGUUUUCUGACACAAUUAUUAGCUGUGGCGUUCUUGACCAGGAACAGGCCGAAAUAGACAGGAAACAAAAAGAGGCUUAUGCUGUCUUAAAGGGUCAUGUGAAGAAUUUUCUGUUUUUAAAUCAUCUUUAAAGCAAGUGACCAUGGCACAGGAGGCUACUGGUUUCCUUGGAGCUUGGGGUUGAUUUGGGCCAGCAGGCAGUGAUUAGGAAGAAGAUGCUGAAGACACUCUACAAGGUGGAUCAGAAUGGAAGUGCUCUUUCAGGCUGCAAAAGUAAAGAUUCCAGCCAGCUACUCUUUGAGAAACCCCUGGCACAUUUACGCCCCAGAGCUGCAAACAACAAACCAGACCU